rnacentral:tRNA from 1 species
GCCUUCGUGGUAUAAUGGUCAGCACACUCAAUGUGUAUUCGAGAGGUCCGAGGUUCGAGUCUCGGCGAGGGCG